rnacentral:rRNA from 1 species
AUUGAACGCUGGCGGCAUGCCUUACACAUGCAAGUCGAACGGCAGCACGGGUGCUUGCCCCUGGUGGCGAGUGGCGAACGGGUGAGUAAUACAUCGGAACAUGUCCUGUAGUGGGGGAUAGCCCGGCGAAAGCCGGAUUAAUACCGCAUACGAUCUACGGAUGACAGCGGGGGACCUUCGGGCCUCGCGCUAUAGGGUUGGCCGAUGGCUGAUUAGCUUGUUGGUGGGGUAAAGGCCUACCAAGGCGACGAUCAGUAGCUGGUCUGAGAGGACGACCGGCCAAACUGGGACUGAGACACGGCCCAGACUCCUACGGGAGGCAGCAGUGGGGAAUUUUGGACAAUGGGCGAAAGCCUGAUCCAGCAAUGCCGCGUGUGUGAAGAAGGCCUUCGGGUUGUAAAGCACUUUUGUCCGGAAAGAAAUCCUUGGCCCUAAUACGGUCGGGGGAUGACGGUACCGGAAGAAUAAGCACCGGCUAACUACGUG